rnacentral:lncRNA from 1 species
UCAUUUAUGUAAAUUAAAAUAGAUGUAGAUGAAUACAGCCUCACUGAUUUGUUUGACUAUUCAGUCUGUUUCAGUCUUCUAGUGUUUUAUCUUGAACUGAUACUUAGUGUAAGUGAAAAGGUCAGAGUUGGGAUUCCUGGUUUGAGUAUCAUGCUUUGUCAUUUUAAUGAAAGUACAGUGACUUCAAGGCAUUUUAUGAAUAACGGGUAUACAUUUUACAGCAGUAAAUUUCUUCAGAAAAUAUUUCUGUAGUUAGGAUUAAGUUAUUUACAAUCAAACAAGUCAUUAUGUGGUAAGGGGCUUAAUAUUCUGCUCAGCUGUGUUUGUGAACAAGUGAUAUGCCCUUACAUUGUAUACAAUCUGGUAUGUGCAACAAUGUGGAGAUUCCUCAAAUGAUUUAAUAAAAUGCUUGAACACUG